CACGUGGGAAUAUGCCUUUCAGUAAGGAACAACGCUUGGAAACGAGUGCUAAUACCUUAUACGCCCCAAGGGGAAAGAUUUAUCGCUGAAAGAUUGGCCCGCGCUAGAUUAGCUAGUUGGUGAGGUAAUGGCUCACCAAGGCGACGAUCUAUAGCUGGUUUGAGAGGAUGAUCAGCCACACUGGGACUGAGACACGGCCCAGACUCCUACGGGAGGCAGCAGUGGGGAAUAUUGCACAAUGGAAGAAACUCUGAUGCAGCCAUGCCGCGUGUAUGAAGAAGGCCUUCGGGUUGUAAAGUA
rnacentral:rRNA from 1 species